rnacentral:rRNA from 1 species
AUUGAACGCUGGCGGUAUGCUUAACACAUGCAAGUCGAACGAUGAGAAAGAGCUUGCUCUUUCGAUUAGUGGCGGACGGGUGCGUAACGCGUAGGAAUCUACCUAUUAGUGGGGGACAACUUAGGGAAACUUAAGCUAAUACCGCAUACGCCCUACGGAGGAAAGAAGGGGAUCGCAAGACCUUUUGCUAAUAGAUGAGCCUGCGUAGGAUUAGCUAGUUGGUGGGGUAAAAGCUCACCAAGGCGACGAUCCUUAGCUGGUUUGAGAGAAUGAUCAGUCACACUGGAACUGAGACACGGUCCAGACUCCUACGGGAGGCAGCAGUGGGGAAUACUGGACAAUGGGCGAAAGCCUGAUCCAGCAAUACCGCGUGUGUGAAGAAGGCCUUAGGGUUGUAAAGCACUUUCAAUUGGAAGGAAAACCUCGAAGCUAAUACCUUCGAGUUUGACAUUACCUUUAGAAGAAGCACCGGCUAACUCCGUGCCAGCCGCCGCAGUAAAAC